GGCUUUGAUGGUUGGAAUCGGUGAUGUGAAGGAAGGCACGUACGAGAUUGAUCAUGCAAGCGUGCUUUGAUGGUUAGCUAUACAUUGCAUGCGUGUAUGCAUUCUAUUGUUUCUGUGUUUGCACAUUCGUACUCAGAUGUAGCAUUGCGAACAAGCCGCUUUGCAUAUAGUAAUAUUCAAGAGCUAGAUCGAUGCGGAGAACUGGAGAUCAGAUGGACAUCACCUCCUCUCGAGCACUCCUGCAUGUGACCGAUAUACUCGCCCAGUCCGCGCACAAGAACCAACUAUGCUGCAUUGCUGCCCGGUUUGCAUGGGCGCACGCCAAGGGAGAAAGAGAAGAGGAGAGAUAGAUGAAGAAGAUGGAGAUGACACAUAGGCCCAUGUUGGCAUUCAGAGAAAUGGUCGAUCCGGAUUGUGCUUACAAACAUGUCUAGGAUUAGAUGAGGGUUGAAAACAACCGGGAUUAAAGAGAACAGGGUACAAACUUCAGGGAUUUAGAGGUGAGGGUUCAUUUUUGACAAGCUCUACAAUCUAAAGGUUUAAAAUAGACUUCACUCCUAUCGGUAUGCACCAUCAGAUGCGUCCUGUAGCAAUGAACGUAUGCAAUGUGUACCGACAAUAAAAAAGCUGCGUCCUGUACCAAUGAAACGUACCGACGAUAAAAAAGCUAUAACUAGCGACAAAAAAAGCUUCA
rnacentral:lncRNA from 1 species